ensembl:lncRNA
GCCACCUACUACCGGAGGUUAAUCUGGGGUUUUGGGGAGGUAGCCACCUACUACCGGAGGUUUAUCUGGGGCUUUGGUCAGGUAGCCACCUACUACCAGAGGUUUAUCUGGGGCUUUGGGGAGGUAGCGGCUCCCAUUACCUCACCGCUGAAGGGGGGACCGGUGCGUUUGCAGUGGUCGGCUGAGGCGGACAGGGCUUUUGGUCACCUGAAGGCUCUGUUUACCUCGACUCCGGUGCUGGCUCAUCCGGAUUCCUCUUUGGCGUUCACAGUGGAGGUGGACGAGUCCGAGGCUGGGAUAGGAACCGUGCUCUCUCAGCACUCGGGUACGCCACCAAAGCUCCGCCCCUGUCCCUUCUUCUCAAAGAAGCUCAGCCCGGCGGAGCAGAACUAUGACGUGGGGGACCAGGACCUGUUGGCUGUCGUCAAGGCCUUGAAGGUGUGGAUACAUUGGUUUGAGGGGGCUAGACACCCUUUUCUCAUUUGGACUGACCACUGCAAUCUGGAGUACAUCUGGGCAGCGAGGAGACUGAACCCUCGCCAGGCAAGGUGGGCCAUGUUCUUUACCCGUUUUGUUUUCACCCUGUCCUACAGACCAGGUUCCCAGAAUGUGAAGGCAGACGCACUGUCCCGGCUGUAUGACACAGAGGAGCGGUCCACGGAUCCCACCCUCAUACUCCCCGCCUCCUGCCUGGUGGCGCCGGUAGUGUGGGAGCUGGACACUGACAUUGAGCAGGCGUUACGUGCAGAGCCCGCUCCCGUCCAGUGUCCUGCUGGGUGUCUGUACGUUCCGUCUGCUGUCUGCGACCGUUUGAUCUAUUGGGCCCACACAUCACCCUCCUCUGGUCAUCCGGGCAUCGGUCAGACAGUGCGCUGUCUUAGUGGGAAGUACUGGUGGUCCACUGUAGCUAAGGAUGUGAGGGUUUAUGUCUCCUCCUGCUCGGUGUGUGCCCAGUGCAAGGCCCCUAGACACUUGCCAAGGGAAGUUACAACCCUUACCCGUUCCACAAUGGCCGUGGUCACACAUGUCGGUGGAUUCCCUAACCGAUCUUCCUCCUUCACAGGGUAACACCACCAUCCUGGUCGUUGUGGAUUGUUUUUCCAAGACCUGUCGUCUCCUCCCUUUACCCGGUCUCCCUACGGCCCUACUGACUGCGGAGGCCCUGUUUAUUCACGUCUUCCGGCACUAUGAGGUGCCUGAGGAUAUAGUGUCUGAUCGGGGUCCCCAGUUCACGUCAAGGGUCUGGAGAGCGUUCAUGGAACGUCUGGGGAUCUCGGUUAGUCUUACCUCAGGUUUUCACCCCGAGAGUGAUGGGCAGGUGGAGAGAGUGAACCAGGAUGUGGGUAGGUUUCUGCGGUCUUAUUGCCAGGACCGGCCGGGGGAGUGGGCGGCGCUCAUACCCUGGGCAGAGAUUGCCCAGAACUCGCUCCGCCACUCCUCUACUAACCUCUCCCCCUUCCAGUGCAUACUGGGGUACCAGCCGGUUCUGGCGCCGUGGCAUCAGAGCCAGAUCGAGGUUCCUGCGGUGGACAACUGGUUUAGGCGCUCGGAGGCGUCAGAAAGCGAGCGCAGACCGCCACCGCAGUGAGGCCCCGGUGUUCGUACUGUUGGUUGGUAUUGUUUGCCGGGUUCGUACUGGUUGGCUGGUAUUGUUUGCCGGGUUCGUACUGGUUGGCUGGUAUUGUUUGCCGGGUUCGUACUGGUUGGCU